UCCUACGGGACGCAGCAGUGGGGAAUAUUGCACAAUGGGGGAAACCCUGAUGCAGCAACGCCGCGUGAGUGAAGAAGUAUUUCGGUAUGUAAAGCUCUAUCAGCAGGGAAGAAGAUGACGGUACCUGAGUAAGAAGCCCCGGCUAAAUACGUGCCAGCAGCCGCGGUAAUACGUAUGGAGCAAGCGUUAUCCGGAUUUACUGGGUGUAAAGGGAGCGCAGGCGGCGCGCCAAGUCUGGUGUGAAACCCCGGGGCUCAACCCCGGGACUGCAUUGG
rnacentral:rRNA from 1 species